UACGUAGGGUGCGAGCGUUGUCCGGAAUUAUUGGGCGUAAAGGGCUCGUAGGCGGUUUGUCGCGUCGGGAGUGAAAACUCAGGGCUUAACCCUGAGCCUGCUUCCGAUACGGGCAGACUAGAGGUAUGCAGGGGAGAACGGAAUUCCUGGUGUAGCGGUGAAAUGCGCAGAUAUCGGGAGGAACACCGGUGGCGAAGGCGGUUCUCUGGGCAUUACCUGACGCUGAGGAGCGAAAGUGUGGGGAGCGAACAGG
rnacentral:rRNA from 1 species